rnacentral:rRNA from 1 species
GACGAACGCUGGCGGCGUGCUUAACACAUGCAAGUCGAACGGAAAGGCCCUGCUUGCAGGGUACUCGAGUGGCGAACGGGUGAGUAACACGUGGGUGAUCUGCCCUGCACUUCGGGAUAAGCCUGGGAAACUGGGUCUAAUACCGGAUAGGAGCCAUUUUUAGUGUGAUGGUUGGAAAGUUUUUUCGGUGUAGGAUGAGCUCGCGGCCUAUCAGCUUGUUGGUGGGGUAAUGGCCUACCAAGGCGGCGACGGGUAGCCGGCCUGAGAGGGUGGACGGCCACAUUGGGACUGAGAUACGGCCCAGACUCCUACGGGAGGCAGCAGUGGGGAAUAUUGCACAAUGGGCGCAAGCCUGAUGCAGCGACGCCGCGUGGGGGAUGACGGCCUUCGGGCUGUAAACUCCUUUCGCUAGGGACGAAGCUUUUUGUGACGGUACCUAGAGAAGAAGCACCGGCUAACUACGUG